rnacentral:rRNA from 2 species
GGGCGAAAGCCUGACGCAGCCACGCCGCGUGAGGGAUGAAGGCUCUCGGGUUGUAAACCUCUUUCAGCAGGGACGAAAAUGACGGUACCUGCAGAAGAAGCUCCGGCCAACUACGUGCCAGCAGCCGCGGUAACACGUAGGGAGCAAGCGUUGUCCGGAAUUAUUGGGCGUAAAGAGCUCGUAGGCGGUUCAGUAAGUCAGGUGUGAAAACUCGAGGCUCAACCUCGAGAGGCCACCUGAUACUGCUGUGACUGGAGUCCGGUAGAGGAGUGUGGAAUUCCUGGUGUAGCGGUGAAAUGCGCAGAUAUCAGGAGGAACACCAACAGCGAAGGCAGCACUCUGGGCCGGUACUGACGCUGAGGAGCGAAAGCGUGGGGAGCGAACAGGAUUAGAUACCCUGGUAGUCCACGCCGUAAACGUUGGGCACUAGGUGUGGGGUCUAGCUAACAGAUUCCGCGCCGCAGCUUAACGCAUUAAGUGCCCCGCCUGGGGAGUACGGCCGCAAGGCUA